rnacentral:pre_miRNA from 1 species
UUUGAUCCCACUCCUUGUCAUUCGCCUGUCCCGUAGGAAAAUUCAACUAGACUGGACGGAGAACUGAUAAGGGCUGGACAAAGA